rnacentral:rRNA from 1 species
AUACGUAGGUGGCAAGCGUUAUCCGGAUUUACUGGGUGUAAAGGGCGCGUAGGCGGGGAUGCAAGUCAGAUGUGAAAUCUAUGGGCUUAACCCAUAAACUGCAUUUGAAACUGUAUCUCUUGAGUGCUGGAGAGGUAGACGGAAUUCCUUGUGUAGCGGUGAAAUGCGUAGAUAUAAGGAAGAACACCAGUGGCGAAGGCGGUCUACUGGACAGUAACUGACGCUGAGGCGCGAAAGCGUGGGGAGCAAACAGGAUUAGAUACCCUGGUAGUCCACGCUGUAAACGAUGAAUACUAGGUGUGGGGGGACUGACCCCCUCCGUGCCGCAGUUAACACAAUAAGUAUUCCACCUGGGGAGUACGAUCGCAAGAUUGAAACUCAAAUGAAUUGACGGGG